rnacentral:rRNA from 1 species
ACUCACCAAGGGCGACUAUUACAUGAAAGCCAGGCUAAUGACCUUGCUAGAUUUUUAGAGAGGUGGUGCAUGGCCGUCGUCAGUUCGUACCGUAAGGCGUUCUCUUAAGUGAGAUAACGAACGAGACCCUCACUGAUAAUUGCUACUUCACCCUCCGGGGUGGAGGCACAUUAUUGGGACCGCUGACGCUAAGUCAGAGGAAGGAGAGGUCAACGGUAGGUCAGUAUGCCCCGAAUCUCUUGGGCUACACGCGCGCUACAAAGGGCGGGACAAUGGGCUCCGACGCCGAAAGGCGAAGGUAAUCUCGAAACCCGUCCAUAGUUCGGACUGAGGGUUGUAACUCACCCUCACGAAGCUGGAUUCCGUAGUAAUCGCGAAUCAACAACUCGCGGUGAAUAUGCCCCUGCUCCUUGCACACACCGCCCGUCAAACCAUCCGAGUUGGGUUUCAGUGAGGUUGCCUCUAAUUAGGGUAUUCGAACUGAGAUUUAGCAAGGAAGGUUAAGUCGUAACAAGG